rnacentral:rRNA from 1 species
GAUCUGAAAUCAGGUAGGGCUACCCGCUGAACUUAAGCAUAUCAAUAAGCGGAGGAAAAGAAACUAACAAGGAUUCCCCUAGUAACGGCGAGUGAAGCGGGAAGAGCUCAAAUUUAAAAUCUAGUUUGCUUGCAAACUCGAGUUGUAGUCUGAAGAAACGUUUUCCAUGGAAGCUGAGGCACAAGUCCUUUGGAACAGGGCAUCAUAGAGGGUGAGAAUCCCGUCCAUGGUCUCAAGUCUUUCAUUUUGUGAUACGUUUUCUAAGAGUCAGGUUGUUUGGGAAUGCAGCCUAAAAUGGGUGGUAAAUUUCAUCUAAAGCUAAAUAUUGGCGAGAGACCGAUAGCGAACAAGUACCGUGAGGGAAAGAUGAAAAGAACUUUGAAAAGAGAGUUAAAAAGUACGUGAAAUUGUUGAAAGGGAACCGUUUGAAGCCAG